rnacentral:rRNA from 1 species
UACGGGGGGGGCAAGCGUUGUUCGGAAUUACUGGGCGUAAAGGGCUCGUAGGCGGCCAACUAAGUCAUACGUGAAAUCCCUCGGCUUAACCGGGGAACUGCGUCUGAUACUGGAUGGCUAGAGUUUGGGAGAGGGAUGCGGAAUUCCAGGUGUAGCGGUGAAAUGCGUAGAUAUCUGGAGGAACACCGGUGGCGAAGGCGGCAUCCUGGACCAACACUGACGCUGAGGAGCGAAAGCCAGGGGAGCAAAGCGGG